UUGGAUUUGAUUACCUUGAAUGAACAUGAAUUGAGGAGAGGAAGUUAAUUAUAAUACGCGGCUCAUACAGUUCUGGUUUAGCCUUUACAUCAAGCCAGUGAAUUUUGAGCAGGUGCUGUAUACAAUACAAUCAACCUUUGUUGUUAUGUCUAAAUGCGAAAGUUUGGAUGGAAGUAUGAAGUUACUAAUCGCGCCUCAACCACUAAAUCGAUUUAUAAUAUUUAUUAUCAUUCUCCAGAAAAACAUUUGAAACCUGGUUUUUAUAUUUUUUCCUACAUCCUUGUGCCAUGAUCUGAGAAGAAACCACAUUGGCAGAAAUUGUGUCAGAGCUAUAGCAUUGUGUUAUAUGUGACAAAGUCAAAGUAAUACCAAGGUAACUGGAAGUAAAGCUGUAGGUUAUAUAAAUACUUUACCAUGGAUAUGAAGUGUCCUCCGGGCCUCAUGACUCCGCAGAGAAAUGCUAAUUGUAUGUUUCGAUUGUAAGGAAUUUUCUUCAUAAUAGCGGCGCAGUGAAUUGACUGCUCCGGUUAUUUUUAACCCACUUUCAACCUCUUCAAAAGACCGCACUUGGGAAAUGAGUGCUAAAUCUACGGCGUACAUUCAAGAAUCUGUUUGUAUUUAUUGGCGCAAGCUGGUUAUUUGUAAAUGUUCAAAUAAAAGUGCUAUGAAAAUGGUACCCUGAGAGAGCGGAUGUCCAGCACCCUUAAGCCUGAAAACGACGGUUGCAAAAAGCUCACUUUUGUAAUAGCAUAAUCACCAGUGAUCCAGACACUCCCUAUCAUGUUUACUUCACAAAAAUAAUCUAACGUAUAAUGCGUCAUAUGAAAUUUUUAUCUAUGCGAAGUGGCCAAGAAAAAGAAGAAAACGGAACUAUACUUAUAAAAUCUAAUACUACUUUUACAUGGAGAUUCACAGUGUCGAUAUAUUUUUACAUAAGUAUAUUCACAUAUCAUUAAA